GACGAACGCUGGCGGCGUGCUUAACACAUGCAAGUCGAACGGAAAGGCCCUGCUUUUGUGGGGUGCUCGAGUGGCGAACGGGUGAGUAACACGUGAGUAACCUGCCCUUGACUUUGGGAUAACUUCAGGAAACUGGGGCUAAUACCGGAUAGGAGCUCCUGCUGCAUGGUGGGGGUUGGAAAGUUUCGGCGGUUGGGGAUGGACUCGCGGCUUAUCAGCUUGUUGGUGGGGUAGUGGCUUACCAAGGCUUUGACGGGUAGCCGGCCUGUGAGGGUGACCGGCCACAUUGGGACUGAGAUACGGCCCAGACGGCUACGGGAGGCAGCAGUGGGGAAUAUUGCACAAUGGGCGGAAGCCUGAUGCAGCAACGCCGCGUGCGGGAUGACGGCCUUCGGGUUGUAAACCGCUUUCGCCUGUGACGAAGCGUGAGUGACGGUAAUGGGUAAAGAAGCACCGGCUAACUACGUG
rnacentral:rRNA from 1 species